rnacentral:rRNA from 1 species
AUUGAACGCUAGCGAGAUGCUUUACACAUGCAAGUCGAACGAGUGGCGGACGGGUGAGUAAUACAUCGGAACGUGCCCCGUAGUGCGGGAUAACUACUCGAAAGCAGGGCUAAUAACGCAUACCAUUGGAGCGGCCGCUAUGGGAUUAGCUAGUUGGUUGGGUAAAGGCUCACCAAGGCAACGAUCCGUAGCUGGUUUGAGAGGACGACAAGCCACACUGGGACGGAGACACGGCCCAGACUCCUACGGGAGGCAGCAGUGGGGAAUUUUGGACAAUGGGGGAAACCCUGAUCCAGCCAUCCCGCGUGUAUGAGAAGGCCUUCGUGUUGUAAAGUACUUUUGGCAGAGAAUCGGUAUCUGCAGAAUAAGCACCGGCUAACUACGUGCCAGCAGCCGCGGUAAUUC